rnacentral:rRNA from 1 species
GGUCAAAUUAUGAAGGGCUUACGGUGGAUGCCUUGGGACCAAGGGCCGAAGAAGGACGCGGUAAGGCUGCGAAAAGCCUCGAUGAGCCGUCUAACAGGCGUAAUCGGGGGUCUCCGAAUUGGGUAACCUGUUCCGGCGUUGAGUCGGUCCACCCGCUCCGGCGGGAGGUAAGUGGGGGAACUGAAACAUCUAAGUACCCCGAGGAAAAGAAAUCAACCGAGAUUCCCUCAGUAGUGGCGAACGAACGGGGAAGAGCCUAAACCGCAACGACCGAACGGCAUGAGGGCCUAUGUCGUUGCGGGGUUACAGGACGUUUCUGGAGUCGCCUCAUCAGGCUCCAAGGAGUUACAAACUUCAUUUCUAGCCGAAGGACCCUGGGAAGGGCCGCCGAAGACGGUGACAGCCCGGUAGGCGAAAGGAAUGAAGCUCCUGAAGCAGAUCCUAAGUACCAUGGGGCACGUGAAACCUUGUGGGAAGUUGGGGGGACCACCCUCCAAGGCUAAAUACUCUUGGUCACCGAUAGCGCACCAGUACCGUGAGGGAAAGGUGAAAAGAACCCCUGGCGGGGAGUGAAAUAGACCUGAAACCGUAAGCCUACAGAAGGUCGGAGUCCGUAUUUACGGAUGACGGCGUGCCUAUUGAAGAAUGAUCCGGGGACUUACUGUAUGGAGCGAGGUUAAGGGACUGUAGUUCCGGAGCCGUAGCGAAAGCGAGUCUGAACAGGGCGACCAGUUCCAUGUAGUAGACCCGAAACCGAGUGAGCUACCCAUGGCCAGAUUGAAGGUUCGUUAACGCGGACUGAAGGAUCGAACUCGUAGCUAGUACAAAAGCUUGGGAUGAGCUGUGGGUAGAGGUGAAAUGCCAAUCGAACUCGGAAAUAGCUGGUUCUCCCCGAAAUGCAUUUAGGUGCAGCCUCGGGAACUAGGAGGACGGAGGUAGGGCACUGAAUGGGCUAGGGGGCGUGAGCUUACCAAACUCAAUCAAACCACCAAUGCCGUUCUACCGAUACCCGGGAGUGAGACAGUCACAGAUAAGUGCAAUUGUCAAGAGGGAAACAGCCCAGACCACCGGCUAAGGCCCCCAAGAGCAGACUAAGUGGGAAACGAGGUGGGGUUCCCAAAACAGCCAGGAGGUUGGCUUAGAAGCAGCCACCCUUUAAAGAGUGCGUAAUAGCUCACUGGUCGAGGGAUCCUGCGCGGAAAAUGUAACGGGGCUUAAGUUUGCCGCCGAAGCCGUGGAUGUACAGGUACAGGCCGGAACCGACUGAGGUAGAAGUUGCCUCUUCGGAGUUGACGGAAGCUGAGGAAGGGGAAAGUCUGAGUUACGCCUGGGCAUGGUAGGGGAGCGUUCCUCGUGCGGAGAAGGCGAGUCGUGAGGCUCGUUGGAGCGCGGGGAAGUGAGAAUCCCGGAAUGAGUAGCGUAAAUCAGGGUGAGAAUCCCUGACACCGAAAGCCCAAGGUUUCCUACGCAACGUUGUUCGGCGUAGGGUUAGUCGGUCCUAAGCCGUAGGCAAGAGCCGAAGGCGAUGGACAGCAGGUUAAUAUUCCUGCACCGCCGUUGUUUCGCUUAAAACCAAGGAGGGGUGCGGGAGGCUAGGCGGGGCGUGCCCAUUGGACAUGGUGCGUCCUUGCUUGUAGGCGUUCCGGGGCAGGCAAAUCCACCCCGGUGUUAAGCUGAGGAGUGAGGGAAUCCCGACCUACGGGAACGGAGACCCCGUUGAGGCCAUACCGACAAGAAAAGCUUCGUGGUUAUGGAGCUGCGGCGACCGUACCGCAAACCGCCACUGGUGGGCUGGGAUAAAAGUCCCUAGGUGUUCGAGCUAACCUCCGCUAAGGAACUAGACAAAAGGGCCCCGUAACUUCGGGAGAAGGGGCCCCCUGGAUGGUGAAACCGCUAGCCGGUGGAGCUGUCUGGGGGCGCAGAGAAGAAGGCCGGGCGACUGUUUAACAAAAACACAGGUCUGUGCUAAGGGGAAACCCUACGUAUACAGGCUGACGCCUGCCCAGUGCCGGAAGGUUAAGGGGCGGUGUGCAAGCACCAAACUGAAGCCCCGGUGAACGGCGGCCGUAACUCUAACGGUCCUAAGGUAGCGAAAUUCCUUGUCGGGUAAGUUCCGACCCGCACGAA